rnacentral:rRNA from 1 species
GACGAACGCUGGCGGCGCGCCUAACACAUGCAAGUCGAACGAGCGAGAGAGAGUCUUGCUUUCUUUGAGCGAGUGGCGAACGGGCGAGUAACGCGUGAGGAACCUGCCUCAAAGAGGGGGACAACAGUUGGAAACGACUGCUAAUACCGCAUAAGCCCACGACCCGGCAUCGGGUUGAGGGAAAAGGAGUGAUCCGCUUUGAGAUGGCCUCGCGUUGGAUUAGAUAGUUGGUGAGGUAACGGCUCACCAAGUCGACGAUCCAUACGCCGGACUGAGAGGUUGAACGGCCACAUUGGGACUGAGACACGGCCCAG